rnacentral:rRNA from 1 species
UCUAGCGACCUCCACGAACCAGGGGAACUGAAACAUCUAAGUACCCUGAGGAAAAGAAAUCAACCGAGAUUCCCUUAGUAGUGGCGAGCGAACGGGGACUAGCCCUUAAGUGGCUUUGAGAUUAGCGGAACGCUCUGGAAAGUGCGGCCAUAGUGGGUGAUAGCCCUGUACGCGAAAAUCUCUUAGUCAUGAAAUCGAGUAGGACGGAGCACGAGAAACUUUGUCUGAAUAUGGGGGGACCAUCCUCCAAGGCUAAAUACUACUGACUGACCGAUAGUGAACUAGUACCGUGAGGGAAAGGCGAAAAGAACCCCGGAGAGGGGAGUGAAAUAGAUCCUGAAACCGUAUGCGUACAAGCAGUGGGAGCCCACUUUGUUGGGUGACUGCGUACCUUUUGUAUAAUGGGUCAGCGACUUAUUUUCAGUNGCGAGCUUAACCGAAUAGGGGAGGCGUAGCGAAAGCGAGUCUUAAUAGGGCGUCUAGUCGCUGGGAAUAGACCCGAAACCGGGCGAUCUAUCCAUGGGCAGGUUGAAGGUUGGGUAACACUAACUGGAGGACCGAACCGACUACCGUUGAAAAGUUAGCGGAUGACCUGUGGAUCGGAGUGAAAGGCUAAUCAAGCUCGGAGAUAGCUGGUUCUCCUCGAAAGCUAUUUAGGUAGCGCCUCAUGUAUCACUGUAGGGGGUAGAGCACUGUUUCGGCUAGGGGGUCAUCCCGACUUACCAAACCGAUGCAAACUCCGAAUACCUACAAGUGCCGAGCAUGGGAGACACACGGCGGGUGCUAACGUCCGUCGUGAAAAGGGAAACAACCCAGACCGUCAGCUAAGGUCCCAAAGUUAUGGUUAAGUGGGAAACGAUGUGGGAAGGCUUAGACAGCUAGGAGGUUGGCUUAGAAGCAGCCACCCUUUAAAGAAAGCGUAAUAGCUCACUAGUCGAGUCGGCCUGCGCGGAAGAUGUAACGGGGCUCAAACCAUACACCGAAGCUACGGGUAUCACGUAAGUGAUGCGGUAGAGGAGCGUUCUGUAAGCCUGUGAAGGUGAGUUGAGAAGCUUGCUGGAGGUAUCAGAAGUGCGAAUGCUGACAUGAGUAACGAUAAUGGGUGUGAAAAACACCCACGCCGAAAGACCAAGGUUUCCUGCGCAACGUUAAUCGACGCAGGGUUAGUCGGUCCCUAAGGCGAGGCUGAAAAGCGUAGUCGAUGGAAAACAGGUUAAUAUUCCUGUACUUCUGGUUAUUGCGAUGGAGGGACGGAGAAGGCUAGGCCAGCUUGGCGUUGGUUGUCCAAGUUUAAGGUGGUAGGCUGNNAUCUUAGGUAAAUCCGGGAUUCUAAGGCCGAGAGCUGAUGACGAGUUAUCUUUUAGAUGACGAAGUGGUUGAUGCCAUGCUUCCAAGAAAAGCUUCUAAGCUUCAGGUAACCAGGAACCGUACCCCAAACCGACACAGGUGGUUGGGUAGAGAAUACCAAGGCGNUNGAGNGAACUCGUGGUGAAGGAACUNGGCAAAAUGNCNCCGUAACUUCGGNAGAAGGNGCGCCNGUGAGGGUGAAGGACUUGCUCCGUAAGCUCAUGCCGGUCGAAGAUACCAGGCCGCUGCGACUGUUUAUNAAAAACACAGCACUCUGCAAACACGAAAGUGGACGUAUAGGGUGUGACGCCUGCCCGGUGCUGGAAGNUUAANUGANGNNGUGNNAGCAUCUNGAUNGAAGNCCCAGUAAACGGCGGCCGUAACAAUAACGGUCCUAAGGUAGCGAAAUUCCUUGUCGGGUAAGUUCCGACCCGCACGAAAGGCGUAACGAUUUGGGCACUG